CGGGCUACUACUCUGUGGAGAAUGGGUUCUAUUUUUUUCAGUUAGGCAACCAAAGAGGAAGAGACACUUUUGUCUUUUAUCCAGUGAGUCUAAGAACACAGGGAAGGACUCUGACUAGCCCAGUUUGGAUUAUGUACCAAUUGUGGGACCAAUCAUCUCUAGAGAGGUGUUUAUUACGGAAUCGGUGGCCCUAGGAGAACCACAUGGAGUGGGGAAAAAGAGAGUGCUCUGAAGCACCCAGAAGAAAGCCAUGCCUUGGCAGAGAAAGCAAGAGUUGUUUACAACUGUAGAUCUAAAGUAGGGUGUAUGAAUCUGUAUUUAAAAAAAAAAAAACUCUUAAAUGAUUUUUCCAGGGUUUGGGAUGCCCUGAGUUAGAUGACGUCCUUUGUAACUCUGACACCUUUUCUUCCCUCUCUUUUUUUAGGGUCUAAAUUACACAAAAUUGAGUUGGGAACAGCAAAAGAAAAGAAUACCAUGGGCGAUAAUAGGAAAAAGAAGCAAUGAAGAAGGAAGGAGUUAAGAGGAUCGCUGCAUUGUGUAGCAGUCCUGUUUUUCUAGGUCAGUAUGGCUCACAUCCCUCAAAACUGCACUUUCAAGUAUAUUGGAAGAUAGAAGGCAGGCAUGGCCAAGAGUGCUAUUCCCAUUGUUUGUUUCUUUUCCAACUCAAAACACUCAGCCUAAUGGGAAGAAUUCUCUAUUCUGUCAUCCCCUGUCGCAGCAGCCUGCUUAUUUUCGUCUUGGUAUCAACAAGAAUCUGUGAUUGUCUAUUUACUUACUUGUAUUAGGCAGGGCCACAGAACUUAGAACAGAAAACAGAACUUAACUUGAAAAGGUUUAAUUGAAAAGAAUGAAGCAAACAGACCAUUUAUGGAGUCAAGAUCAGGGUUAAGUGUAUUAAUAAGGAUGUCAAAGCACUUGGAACUUGCAGUGGUGAGGAGCCAUUACCAUCAGUUUCAAUUAUUUAUUGCUGUGUAGCAAAUUGCCACACAAUUUAGUAUCUUAAAAAAACAAUCACCAUUUGUUUUCUCAUAGUUCUUCAAUUUGCACAGGGCUUGGUGGAAAUGGCUUAUCCACUCUGCACUUGGUGGAGUUCUCUGGGGCAACUCAAGUGGUGCUGGGUGAGGAUCCAGGAUGGGUUCACUUACAUAGCUGGUACCUGUGCUAGAGUGACUGGAAUGGUAUGGGGUGAGCUAGGCUUGGCUCUCUUUCCAUGGGGUCUCUCAUUUCAUAAUUAGCCUGAGCUGUUAAUAGGUGGCUAGAUCCCAAGAAAGUCAAAAUGGAAGCUACCAAGCCUUUUAAGAACUUGACCAAACAUCCCAUUUGCUACAUUCUACUGGUCAAAGCAAGUUGUGAGGCAAAUGCAUCUUGAAGGGAAGGUGAAAUAGAUACUACCUUUUAAGGGGAGGAGAGCAUGUUCAUAUAGAGUUGAGAUGAAUCACUAGUAGCUGUCUUUGCAGAUAAUCUACUACAUAUGCUUCAGUACAAAAAGACGAAGGGAAAAAAUAGAAUUUCUAAUGAGAUCUGGCACUGUGGAGGAAGAUCUGUCCUACAGGAGAUACAGUAAUUGAAAUAUACUGCCAGAACCAUGGGGCUGAGGCAGGGGGAGAAAUACAGAAGAAAUACCCUGAUCUCUUUCCUACUAGUACAUGGCAGCCUGGUUAAGGUAAUUCAGAGGUCAACCCCACCUCUCCAGAAAGCAAAGAAGGCUGGAAAAGGCCACUGAAUGGACUGGGAAUGGAUUGGACCAUUGAAGAAGAACCAGAAUAUUUUUUUAUUAUCUGUUUC
ensembl:lncRNA